UACAGAGGGGGCAAGCGUUGUUCGGAAUUACUGGGCGUAAAGGGCGCGUAGGCGGCCCGCUAAGUCGAACGUGAAAUCCCUGGGCUCAACCCAGGAACUGCGUCCAAGACUGGGAGGCUUGAAUCCGGGAGAGGGAUGCGGAAUUCCAGGUGUAGCGGUGAAAUGCGUAGAUAUCUGGAGGAACACCGGUGGCGAAGGCGGCAUCCUGGACCGGUAUUGACACUGAGGCGCGAAAGCCAGGGGAGCAAACGGG
rnacentral:rRNA from 1 species